CUCUGUACUGGGAGGAAAUGUACUCUUUCCGUUUUUGUUGAAAAUCAACAUUGUCUUUUGUAUUAUUUAUUUUCUUUUGUCUAAAUUCAGGGUUGUUCUGAUAUUGCAUUCUUGCAUGAGAUCUUUUUUCUGCUUUAUACGCUUUAUUUGAGGCAUAUUUUUCCCUUUCUUUGCUUUUUUUAAUCUCUUGCCUUUGUUGAUUUUUCUCUGAGAUCAGUCUUCUCUUUAAUUUUCUCCUUUUGUUUUUAUCACACUUUGUUAGUUUGCAUGAGAUUCCCUGUAAUAGAACACCAGGUAGAUCACUAGCAACAGUAUUUUCUACUGAGGAAGAAAUACUUGGUUCAUUGAGAGAAGCAUCAUGUGAUGGAAGGGAAGUGGAUUGACUUGAUAGUUCUGGUUCAUUGGAGUUUAUGACCUCUUUUUGUCUCACCGAUGAUGUGAAGAUGAUGUCAUUGGACUCUGCUGUCAAUAUGUCGUCAGAUGGAUCACUGAGGUUUAUCACUUGAGCAGUUGAUUCUGAUUCAUUGUGAGGAGCAUCAUGUGAUGAUAUUGUGAUGAAGACCUCUGGUUGUUUUACAGCUGGAGUGUGAGGAGUCAUUUCAGGUGAACUGGUCUGAUCAGUGGCUGUAGGUGAGUUUGAUUCCUCCACAGGGACAGCUGUAGGUCUGCAGUCUGUGUUUGGGAGACCAUCGUUCAGGUUUACUGUGUUCACAUUGUAGAACUCCACAGGUUUCAACUCAUAGUUACAGGAGGACUGUGUGUCCAUCAUUCUGUGGGACUUCUUGAGCCUGUCAAUCAUGUCACUGAGACGUGAGAAUGUCACCAUGACAGCAGUACCUGGUGUGCGUGAACCGGCUGGUAGGGGCAAACCUCUGGCUGUUCUGGAGUGUGGGUCAAAGAAACCGUAUCUGCCUGACUUGGUUCUGAACACUGCGAUACACAAGAGUCUCAUCAACAGCAGAGCGUACUUCACAUCUGACAACAAGCAGCUGAGUCCUGACUCCAGGUCCAGAAAGUUGUCCACAGCUCCAGGUAAAGGUUCUCCUAAUGUGCCGUACCUUGAAAGCUGAGUCAUGUCUGCAUGGUGUGUAGUGCUGCGUGCAGGAACUUCAUCAGUGAGCUCGUCGGUGGUCAGAUAGAUGUGAUCGGUGACUCGUUUCCUGGUCUCUCUAUACAUCGUGUUACCUUUAUCCAAAACAUGGUCCAGGUCUGCUCCGGUGAUGCUUUCAUUCUCAUGGAGGAAUGCAAGAAAGGUCAGUGAGUUACAGGUGCACUGCCGAUUUCUGGAUCUGCCGUAUCUGAUUGAAGCCUGGCUGUGGGAUGCACGGACAUGUUGUUCAGAAGGCUGAUCUUCAGGGUCUACACGGUCUGCAUUAGAAGGUCCUGCUGUACAUGGAUCCUCACUGUGACGUCCACUCUUUACUGCGUCUGCAUAUGAUACCUGUGACUCACUUGGAACUCCCUGUUUCACACUUCCAGGAUGAGACUCUGCAGACAUCUUUACCGCUCCACUGCUCUCAGGACCAACACAUUCUGCUCCGUCAGUCGUUGUUGCACAGGGAUUCUCUUUGGUCCGCUGCCAGCGCAGGCUCUGAGCUUGUGACCUCUUACUCUUUCUUGGCAUUGUUGUGUGUCAAAACCAAAAAUGUUAUUGUUUUACUUGUAUUGUACACAACCAAGGUACUAAACACAAUAUUAAAGGUAAAAUAGUAUUAUUAACAAAGCGGGAUGUAAGGAUAAAUUAAACGUAUGUCUGCUUUUUGGUAACACUUAGCAGUUUAAAUGCUUCAAAACUAUACUAUUUGUUAUGAUAUACCAAAAGCCAUUUCAGUAUCCAAGUAAAUGACUUUGUAGAAAAUCCCAGCCAGGAAAAUGUGAUGUCAAACGUAACACUAUAAAGAGAUCAAUAUCAAUGCUCAAAUUUGACUGUUCCUGAAAUACUAUAUUAUUUAUGUUUUGGUGUAUGUCAAAAAAUCUAUAUUUGAUUGUCAAAUCCAGUGACAGCAACUUUGAGUAUAUUCCUUAGUCUUAUUAUAUUAAGGCUAUAUCUAAAACCCUAAAUCAAACAAUUUUAGUUCAUAAAUACUGUGAGCAGGUAUAUACUGGAUCUGUGAACUUACUGACAGUAUAUAUUUGUUAAAUAUACUUCUAGAAGAAACCUUGACAAAUCUUUGGAAAUAUUUAUUCAAUAUAAAAUCUAAAGUUUAACACUGGACAACAACCAAAUAAAAAUAGGCUAUUUUAAAUGAUUGUGAGCCACCUAAAUCUCUUUUUAAUAAUGAAAUGUACUUAAUUAAAACUCUUAAGACUUGACAAAGUUAGAAAUGACUCUGAUAAAAAAGUUAAAAUGAUUUACUGAGGGAACCAAAUCUACAGUGCAGAAAUGGUAUGUAGUACAAUUCUAGACGCACUAGGACGAAAAUAUUCUGUUCACUUCAAAGUUUUGUGGAAUAUGUAAAUUUAAUUACACAUUUUGCACCAAUCCACAACCAGUAGUCCAAUGCCAGAUCUCUUCUGAUCCUUAACUGUUUGCACUUACCAGCAAGGAAUAUCUUCUAUAAUUAUCUAAUAUUAUUACUAUGAUAUGGUUUAUAUUCAAAUCGGGAACAGUUGUCGUGGCAGCUGAAUCCUUCUGAAGAAUGUUGGGUCUGUAGACAGGAAGCAGCAAUUCCAAAUAAAUCCUUUUCCUCCUUAUAGAUGCUUGUAUUUUAUUUCAGGAUGUUAGACAUCAAAAUGCAUAGACUGAAUGAUUGAAACAAUGUAAGUUUACAUGAAAAAAAUACUUAACACACUAAAUAAUUAUUAAUAAUAGUGAAAUUCUUUUUAUUUGUAUGUAGACUAGUCAAGUUAACAGUGUAAAGGUGUCAGCUAGCAAAACAAACCAACGGAGUCCACAGCAACUAAAAACUCUUCUCUAAUAUGGAUUUUCACUCCAAUGUAUUUUUGUGUAUUAAGAGUACACGUCUUGUGAAUUAUGCACCUUUUAUAAGAAAUUAUAUAUUUUGAAAAUCACCAGAUUAAAUUCUUAAGUAUAAAAUGUGUAACCGUUGUCAAUUACAACCAAAGAUUGUGGACGUUGUACGGUUUCUUUACAGUUUAUAAUCUCAAAAGAAAAAUAUAUCAAAUGUUUUCUCCAAUUUGUAAAAGCAGUAAUAGUUGUCUACAGAUAGGUGUAUGUGUUGUAGAUAGGAGAUUGAAAGAGGUGAGCGUGAGAGAAGAGAAUCUCUCAGAUUGUCCAAAAAAGAUAGAUCAGGUACCAAUAACCCGAGUCAAGGUGAGUGAUCAGAGGAGAGACAGAGAGCGCGAGAGACUCUCAGAGUAUUCAUCAACAGACAGGUACUUGUAACCAUAGCAAAACCAAAUCAAUUUGGUUAUUAGUCAGGGUUCCAGGUUUUGGUGCAGAAUCAGGUUCCUCAAGGUUUUUCAGAAAUGUUUCAAAGUUUCAUCACAGAUCAGAGUGGGAUAGAGGGGGACACAAAGAAUGAAUUUCCAAAUGCAAAGACAGAGCGGUAGAUUUGACAGGAAAGCUUGAGGCACCAAUGUUUAGACAGAGUGGAUAGAAGGUAAAGGAAAGACAGAGAGGCAAUAUGAUGGGGGAGAGAGACCCUGGACAGCAGGACACCUGCAAGACACAAUGAAACACCCAUUAGACAGCAGGUUGAACAACAAUUUAAGUAACUUCUCAAGGUGAAAGAUCAGUGAAGGUUUUGCUCACAUAACCAAAAUAUAAACCAGGUAAUAGUGCAGAUAUUUAUAUGAAAAACAUGUUUGUUCUUAAAUGUAUCAAUUGAGUGCUGUUGUCUAGAUCUCUCACACGAGUAGUUUAAGUGUUGCCGCUGCUGCCAGAUCUCUUUUCCAUGUGGUUUUCCUUUUAUGAUAGCCAUACUGAUUCAUUUAAUAAACAGAAUUUGUAUUUCAGAAAAGGGUUAGAAGUUCUCAUUCCUAGUAUAUUAAUAAUCCACAAUUAAAAGCUGGUACUCUAUGAAUUUAUGGAGCUACGAAAGUCUUUCCAGUUUCUCUCAAUGUCCUGCAAAUAUUUCCCAAUAUAAGGCCUGUGUUACCGGAAGGGAUUCUGGGAUGGGAAUCCAGCUGAGUCAAGACGCUGCACUGCCUGUGUGAGCAACACACCAGGAAGAGUCCGGAACCUGAAAAUAAAAUUACAUUGCGCUGAUUUAAUUGCACUAAACGAAUCUUGGUAGGAUCAGCUCGCUCACCCAUAACGUGUUGUUAGUGGUACAUGUACUUAAAAUAAUAACUUGCUCAAUUUUCAAUCGAUUUUUAACAGAUGUAGUUAUGACACUGCAUACAUCAUAAUAAUAAUGUUAUGUUCUAAAAUUAGAAUAAUGUUCUAAAGUAGUAAAGAGUAGUGUAAAGAUUAGUAGUGUAAAUAUUUUCCUUUACACAUAUUCAUCAAGAAAUGCUGCAUGUUAAAAGAGAUGUAUUUAUGACACUGCAUACGUAUGAAUAAUUAUAACCAUGGGUUUUCAUACAAAAAUGAUAUUAAACAGAGCAUUAUUCAUAAGUAUCCAGUAUCAGAACUACAUCUCUGACGUUUAUAACAAACCGUUUAAAAUUAAGUUAAUUUAAGUACAUGUACCACUGGCAACACAACGUUAUGGGUGAGCGAGCUGACUGUACCAAGAUGGCCACCAUGUGCGGACGUUCUAUACUCCGCCGUAAGACAAAUGCGGUGCUUUAAGUGUGAACAUGACGCUAACCAUUGGCUAACACUAGCAUUGCGGCUAACGCUGACUUUGUUGUAACGCUAACGUAACUUGUUAAUGUUUAACAUUAACUUCUCUUAGAUAGAGCAGUACGGUGUCACAUCAACCACAAAGCUUACUUCAGAGUCAGCCAGCUUAUUUCAUUAAUAAUAAAACCGCACAUAUUCUUAACCCUUACACAAUGUUCAUAUUGCAUACCUUCACAAUAGGUUUCAGGUCCAUUUUUACCCGGUCCAAGAAUUACCUCAUGUCUGUACCACAUUUUAAGCUACACGUCUAUUUUUUUAGAUUAGAUUCAACUUUAUUGUCAUUGCACAGGGUACAAGUACUGAGGCAACGAAAUGCAGUUAGAAUGUCUAAAUAGCCUGUCUCAUAAAUGAAUGUACAAUUAGCCCCUAAUAAAUGUUUAAGAGCAGGGAGAGUUUUUUUUAACACAUGAUCAUGUGCUGUUUUACAUUAUACAUAAAAUCCCUGUGUGGGGAAGGUGUUGUCGCUUUGGCAUGUAAAGAGUCACAAGAGCCUCUCUGAGCUCCUCCAAGAAAAACUUCCUCCAGUUCCUUUUGCCCCCCAUGUAAGAUCCAGCUUGCUGCAUACAACAAAGGCAUUGUAGGUUGAUGCUGUGGUUUGAAGAUUACAAAAGGCCAUCGGGCGGUUCUCCUUUGGCAGUAUCGUUGGAGUGUCAAGGACGAUGGCUUGUUUUCUAUCUUCCCACCUCCCUUUGUGCACCGUAUAUGAUCACUCCUAUCUUGUUUUACUAUGUCACUCUUUGGAGACCCCCGUGCCCCUUGAAAGACCGCAGGUGUCUCUGCGGGAAGCUGGAGAAAUGUUGUGUGAACACAGACAGUUCUUGUCACGGUGUGGAGGUCCCCCUUGACCUCUGUCACCUUUGUCCCAGGAAAAUUACACACAAGCAUCGCCUGUACAGUUCAACAUAUUGAAGAUUCCCUAAAACCAUAAUUUUCUUGUUUUCAUCGACACUGGGAGAUCUCAAAUAAAUUGAUAGAUUCAGAUCAAUUUGACCCAAAACAGCCUCAGUGAAUAAAAAUGUGUAUCACCUGUACAAAAGUACAAAACAGAGUUGAAGUGAACUAAGUGCACUAUGGAGAUAAAAUGCGCACCAACUGAGUGUUUUUCAUCUCACCGCAUUGGACCUUUCAUGUGUGCGCAUGUGUCUGUGUUUGUUAGUUUACCAGUCACUGUCAGUAUUGAACAUUUCUCUCCUAUGAAGAGCCGAAACUCACCUGUUGCUACGUCCAAAGCGACAAUAUAAAAAGCCUUAGCGAGCAGACGGACGAUCUUUGACACGCAAAGUUGAGAGAGAAUAAUGACCCUACACGAUCUUUUGUGGACCAAGCCCCCGACUCCUUACCACAGACCCCCAGUUAUCCACCUGUGCGUGGUGGCGCUCGUGGAGCAGCGCAAGGAUGUCGCUUGGGAGUUUGACUCCACUGGCGCGAGACCGGUGACAAUCAAAAACAACGUCUUGGCAUCGGUGUCGGACGGGAAGACGGUGGCCAAAUUUACGGCCUACGGAGAAUUUGCCCACAAAUUUAAAGCGGGCGGGCAUUACAUGCUGCGGGGGCAUUCCCUGAGAGGGCAGUCUCCCCCGUACAUGAUUAAUAUCACCAAGGAGACGGUGUUUUAGGAGGAGCGCUCCUCUCACCGUCUCCCAAGAGCUCAGAGCGCAGGCGGAGGCUUUAAUCCGUCCCCCGUCCCUGCAGGGACGCCAAGGACCUCCUGACUGUGCAGGGGGAAGUGGUCGAAAUGUCCACGGUGAAAAAGAUCACCAAGGGAAGGGAGAGCUUCCCGAUGCGCCACAUCAAGCUGCAGCAGGGGGAAACGCAAAUGCCGGUGUGUCUGUGGAGGGAGGCAGCGGUGGAAAAGAAGCUCCAGAUCGGGACGCACGUAGAGAUUUCCCAUCUCAAAGCCACCAGCUCGGACUACGGAGAACAACUCCAAUCCACGCCGUUCACACUCGUCGAGGAGCUCAACUCAGACAGCGUGGUGGGUGUGAUCGGGGUCGUGGACCUUGAGGGCGAGCCAGGCCCCAACAUGCUGCUGGAGGACGGCCGGACGGUCCUCAUCGAGGAGGGACUGUGGAAAAAGGUGGAGGACCAGUUUAUUGAAUCGCCACUAAGGGCAGCAGUGCAGCUGAUGGGAAAUAGAGUCACGUCUAUUGACACCAUUAAAUAAAGUUGCUGUAUUCUUAGCUUGUUAUUUUUGUAUUUUUCCUGUAUAUAUUGUUCUGUUGUGUUAAUAAACUGCUUAAAGUACAACUCAACCUUUGCUGUGCAUUGUUUCACGUAAACUUACUUUUUGAUUUGAAAUGCUGUGAUUUAUAUUAGAUGUUUAUAAUAGAAAUGCGUCUGAGUCAAGCCGGUUCUGCAAAGAAUGUUGGAGAAACAAACGAAAGGCUCCUUUCACAGGCCCAGCUCUCCUCUAACACAGUAUGAAGGCCUCUGCGCCCCCUGAAAAUAGAUUGAAGCACCACAUUAAUAUAAUAAUACAUCUACCGGGCUCUAGAUGGGAAGUUGUAUUAUAAGCCUGUUCAUUUAUGCAUUCACACAGUUAACAGUUGUAUUGGUAACAGCCAACAAACAAUCAGUUUUUUCUUGGUUGAUUCUCUUGUUGUAAUGAGUAGAGUUUACGUUUAUCUUUAUUUAGUUUAAUCUAAGGCCCUGUCUCCAAAUAGCAGCCAAAGGACUCUGGGCAGCGCUUCAACAGAGUGUUUUAAGUAAAAAGAGUUUCUAAACACCGCCUGAAAAAUCCUGAUCGUCUGUGGUUGAUAUGCCAAUUGAUGGCACUGCUGCUGAACUGUCAACUGUUGCCAUUUUUACCUGUGCAUUAGUCAUUUUAAAUUCUGCUAUUGUGUUCAAUUUAAAAUAAGGGAGAAAGAGGGAGGUAAAGAGAUGAGAAAAAUAGAGAGAAAGAAAGUCAGAAAUUAAGAGGAAAGUGUCAGGGAUGGGUGGAGGAGGCAGGACUCAAACACAGGCUUCUCAGAAAGCAAAAGACUUUAAUAGUCAAAAGGCAAAGGCAGAAGGCCAAGGGGCAAAAACACACAGGAACCGGGGGGGAAACAGCAGGCAGGAACUACGAACAUCCACGACGAUAGACAAUGACGCGACAAGCGACACAAGACACACGGCUUAAAUACACAAGGGAGGUGCAGGUGAUUGGACACAGGUGGAAACUAUUAGACGAUCACAGGGGAUGACGGGACAAGGCAGGAAGUGAAGUUACCCGGGGACACGAGUUCACAAUAGGUUACCCCGACACGAAUUACCCCGGAUUUCUAC
ensembl:lncRNA